UGCUGGUCUGUGACUGAAGCUGCUCAGAGCGGGUGAGAGAAAGUCGAGCGGAGCAAACUAACAGAGUUAGUGGGUGUGUGAGGAGGAAUGGAGCCAGCAGAGUGGGCAGGUAGGCUUCAUAAAGACACAGUGCAGGCCAUGGACCCCAAAUAACAAGGAUACUAAAAGAUGACAUCUUGCAGGUGGGAAAUUCAAACCAAACAUCACACUAGAGUCUGCAAGAAUCACUCGAUUCAUCUGGACUUGGAUAUUAUCGUUCUCUGAGUAUACCAGCGCCUAUUGUGACCCCUAGUUGCCUAUGGAGAAGAUGAUGUUUGACCUUCUUGAACUGCUGCAGUCCAUGUGGUGAAGGUGCUCCCACAAUGCUGUUCGGUAAGGAG